GCCCUGGUGGCGGAAUUGGCAGACGCGCAUGGUUGAGGGCCAUGUGGGAGUAAUCCCUUGCUGGUUCGACCCCAGUCCAGGGCA
rnacentral:tRNA from 1 species